rnacentral:misc_RNA from 1 species
ACAAACUUGGUCAUUUAGAGGAAGUAAAAGUCGUAACAAGGUCUCCGUUGGUGAACCAGCGGAGGGAUCAUUACCGAGUUUUUCCAACUCCCCAACCCCACCGCGAACCUUACCCAUCGUUGCUUCGGCGGGUCGGCCCCGGGCCCCGCCCCCCCGCGGGCGGGCCCCGGACCCCAGGCCCCCGCCGAAGGCCCUGGCAAACUCCUUGCUUCCCUCCCCCCCUCGCGGGGAGGCCCUCCCCUCUGAGCGGGCCCCGACGGGUCCGGGUAAGCGGAAACGAAUCAAAACUUUCAACAACGGAUCUCUUGGCUCCGGCAUCGAUGAAGAACGCAGC